rnacentral:rRNA from 1 species
ACGGGUGAGUAACACGUGGGCAACCUGCCCUUGAGACUGGGAUAACUUCGGGAAACCGGAGCUAAUACCGGAUAAUAUAAGGAACCUCCUGGUUCCUUAUUGAAAGAUGGUUUCGGCUAUCACUUAAGGAUGGGCCCGCGGCGCAUUAGCUAGUUGGUGAGGUAACGGCUCACCAAGGCGACGAUGCGUAGCCGACCUGAGAGGGUGAUCGGCCACACUGGGACUGAGACACGGCCCAGACUCCUACGGGAGGCAGCAGUAGGGAAUCUUCCACAAUGGACGAAAGUCUGAUGGAGCAACGCCGCGUGAGUGAUGAAGGCCUUCGGGUCGUAAAGCCCUGUUGUUAGGGAAGAACAAGUGCGAGAGUAACUGCUCGCACCUUGACGGUACCUAACCAGAAAGCCACGGCUAACUACGUGCCAGCAGCCGCGGUAAUACGUAGGUGGCAAGCGUUAUCCGGAAUUAUUGGGCGUAAAGCGCGCGCAGGUGGUUUCUUAAGUCUGAUGUGAAAGCCCACGGCUCAACCGUGGAGGGUCAUUGGAAACUGGGGAACUUGAGUGCAGAAGAGGAAAGUGGAAUU